rnacentral:rRNA from 1 species
UACGUAGGGUGCGAGCGUUGUCCGGAAUUAUUGGGCGUAAAGGGCUCGUAGCGGUUUGUCGCGUCGGGAGUGAAAACUCAGGGCUUAACCCUGAGCCUGCUCCCGAUACGGGCAGACUAGAGGUAUGCAGGGGAGAACGGAAUUCCUGGUGUAGCGGUGAAAUGCGCAGAUAUCAGGAGGAACACCGGUGGCGAAGGCGGUUCUCUGGGCAUUACCUGACGCUGAGGAGCGAAAGUGUGGGGAGCGAACAGG